UAUGACGGUACCCUUUCGAAUAAGAGGUUGCUAACUCUGUGCCAGCAGCAGCGGUAAUACAGAGACCUCGAGCGUUAUCCGGAUUUACUGGGCGUAAAGCGUCUGUAGGGGGUUUGUUAAGUUCCAAGUAAAAUCUUAAGGCUCAACUUUAAGUUCGCUUGGAAAACUAAUAAACUGGAGUCCAGCAGAGGUGCAUGGAACUUGCGGUGUAGGAGUGAAAUCCGUUGAUAUCGCAAGGAACACCAAAGGCGAAGGCAUUGCACUGGGCUGGUACUGACCCUGAGAGACGAAAGCGUGGGGAGCAAAACGGAUUAGAUACCCGCGUAGUCCACGCCGUAAACGAUGGAUACUAGAUGUUCGGGGAUUCGACCCCCUGGGUGUCACAGCUAACGCGUUAAGUAUCCCGCCUGGGAAGUACGGCCGCAAGGCUAAAACUCAAAGGAAUAGACGGGGAUCCGCACAAGCGGUGGAGCGUCUGGUUUAAUUUGAUAGUAAGCAAUGGACCUCACCAAGGUUUGACAUCCUAUGACAACCCUGGAAACAGGGCUUCCUUCGGGCAUAGUGACAGGUGCUGCAUGGUCGUCGUCAGUUCGUGCCGUGAGGUGUUCCGUUAAGUCGGGAAACGAACGAAACCCUCGUCGCAUGUUACAAAUUUCAUGCGAGACUGCCCGGGUCAACCGGGAGGAAGGCGGGGAUGACGUCAGAUCAGCAUGGCCCUUAUACCUUGGGCUACACAGGCGCUACAAUGGCCGGUACAAAGGGUUGCAAAACCGCGAGGUGAAGCUAAUCCCAUAAAGCCGGUCCAAGUUCGGAUUGAAGGCUGCAACUCGCCUCCAUGAAGUUGGAAUCGCUAGUAAUCGUGGAUCAGCCAUACCACGGUGAAUACGUUCCCGGAUCUUGUACUCACCGCCCGUCACACCAAGAGAGUUGGUAGCUCCUGAAG
rnacentral:rRNA from 1 species